ACUAUCCACUCCCAUUUUGCAUAAAGCAUUUCAUUUUCAUGUGCCUCUGCUUCCAAUCAUAUACUUCUCAUUUUAGAUUCUUACAUUAAUGCAUAUUAUUCACAUUGAAUUUCUUACGCACUGAUGUUGGUGUAACUUUGUCAAUUUUUUCUUUAUUUCAGUUCUUGUUUAUUUCCCUUUUAACUUUUAGAGCAAAAUUAACUUUGGAUUUUCAAGUUGAAACAGUGUCUGAUAUUUUUGUUUCUUAUUUUCAGGUCAGAUAUACAUCUGACUUCUUCUUUUGCUACAAAGAGAUAUGAAUGAAGUGAUGUGAUUUUUCAUUUUAGUAAAAUGAUUUCCCUUUUGUUAUCUAUUUGUUUUGACCUCUGCCCGAAGCAUUAUUCUUGAGAAAAUUAUUUCAUAGAUGAAUUACCAUUUCAGUUCUAGUUCUAAAUGCAUGGCUCCAGCUGUUAGGUAUGGGAUAACUUAACAAGGAGAGGGAUGAGUCUGGUUCAAGUCUUUACCUUGUAACCUUGAAAAGGGAAAAAUAUACGUUGUAACUGAAUUUGGCCUUAGACAUCAGAAGGAUGGGAUAGGAAUGCCCUAACUUCACUGGAAAAUAUAUAAUUUUUUGCACUCAUUUCAAGGUCUUAUAAUCGAAACUUUCAGUAAUUGGUGUCUGAAAGUAGCUCAUGUACACCCAGUCCCUUGCUCUCACCUGAUUAUUUCUCGAAUUCUUUUUCCCACCACCCUAAUGAAAUGUGCAUCAUAAUGAUUUUAAUAAUUACUGCAAAUAACCUGAUCUGUUGGCUUAAUGAGGUGUAAUCACAAUCCCCAGAAACAUCUGUUUUCAUCCCCAGCUCCUCCAACUCCACCUCUGCAUCUUCUUCAAUGUUAUGCUGUAACUGUUCUAGAAAGAAAAUCUAUUAAUUCUUUCUGGAGCUUUUGUUUUUGAAAA